rnacentral:rRNA from 1 species
UGGGGAAUAUUGCACAAUGGGCGCAAGCCUGAUGCAGCCAUGCCGCGUGUAUGAAGACGGCCUUCGGGUUGUAAAGUACUUUCAGUCGGGAGGAAGGUGGUAAGGUUAAUAACCUUGGCAAUUGACGUUACCGACAGAAGAAGCACCGGCUAACUCCGUGCCAGCAGCCGCGGUAAUACGGAGGGUGCAAGCGUUAAUCGGAAUUACUGGGCGUAAAGCACACGCAGGCGGUUGAUUGAGUCAGAUGUGAAAUCCCCGGGCUUAACCCGGGAAUUGCAUCUGAUACUGGUCAGCUAGAGUCUUGUAGAGGGGGGUAGAAUUCCAUGUGUAGCGGUGAAAUGCGUAGAGAUGUGGAGGAAUACCGGUGGCGAAGGCGGCCCCCUGGACAAAGACUGACGCUCAGGUGCGAAAGCGUGGGGAGCAAACAGG